rnacentral:rRNA from 1 species
UCUGGCGGUACCUUGACGGUACCUCACGAGAAAGCCCCGGCUAAAUACGUGCCAGCAGCCGCGGUAAUACGUAGGGGGCAAGCGUUGUCCGGAAUUAUUGGGCGUAAAGCGCGCGCAGGCGGUCUUUUAAGUCUGAUGUGAAAGCCCCCGGCUCAACCGUGGAGGGUCAUUCGAAACUGCGGGACUUGAGUGCAGAAGAGGAAAGUGGAAUUCCCCGUGUAGCGGUGAAAUGCGUAGAAAUUUUGGAGGAACACCAGUGGCGAAGGCGGCUUUCUGGUCUGUAACUGACGCUGAGGCGCGAAAGCGUGGGGAGCAAACAGGAUUAGAUACCCCGGUAGUCCUCGCCGUAAACGAUGAGUACUAAGUGUUGGAGGGUUUCCGCCCUUUCAGUGCCGCAGCUAACCGCAUUAAG